AGAACGAACGCUGGCGGCAGGCCUAAUACACGCAAGUCGAACGCACUCUUCGGAGUGAGUGGCAGACGGGUGAGUAACGCGUGGGAACCUUCCCAAUGGUACGGAAUAACUCCGGGAAACCGGUGCUAAUACCGUAUAAGCCCCUCGGGGGAAAGAUUUAUCGCCAUUGGAUGGGCCCGCGUCGGAUUAGCUAGUUGGUAAGGUAAUGGCUUACCAAGGCUACGAUCCGUAGCUGGUCUGAGAGGAUGAUCAGCCACACUGGGACUGAGACACGGCCCAGACUCCUACGGGAGGCAGCAGUAGGGAAUCUUGGACAAUGGGCGAAAGCCUGAUCCAGCCAUGCCGCGUGAGUGAAGAAGGCCUUAGGGUUGUAAAGCUCUUUUGGCGGGGACGAGUAAUGACGGUACCGCAGAAUAAGCCCGCUAACUUCGUGCCAGCAGCCGC
rnacentral:rRNA from 1 species